CAUUGGACAAGAGUGAACGGUGGAGUUUAUACACGACGGUCUUUUACUUCGUGAAAAAUUAGAACAAGUCAAACAUUUGCUUUACUCUACAAAUAAAGAAAAUUUUCAUAAAAUAAUUUGCAUCUCAUGUGUGGUAUUUUCAAUUAAAUUUGUUAGAAAAAGAAAAAACAAUAAUAAAAGAAUUGUGUGCUAA